UUUGAUCCUGGGUCAGGAUGAACGCUGGCGGCGUGCCUAAUACAUGCAAGUCGAGCGAACAGAUAAGGAGCUUGCUCCUUUGACGUUAGCGGCGGACGGGUGAGUAACACGUGGGUAACCUACCUAUAAGACUGGAAUAACUCCGGGAAACCGGGGCUAAUGCCGGAUAACAUGUUGAACCGCAUGGUUCUACAGUGAAAGGCGGCUUUGCUGUCACUUAUAGAUGGACCCGCGCCGUAUUAGCUAGUUGGUGAGGUAACGGCUCACCAAGGCAACGAUACGUAGCCGACCUGAGAGGGUGAUCGGCCACACUGGAACUGAGACACGGUCCAGACUCCUACGGGAGGCAGCAGUAGGGAAUCUUCCGCAAUGGGCGAAAGCUGACGGAGCAACGCCGCGUGAGUGAUGAAGGUCUUCGGAUCGUAAAACUCUGUUAUUAGGGAAGAACAAAUGCGUAAGUAACUGUGCGCGUCUUGACGGUACCUAAUCAGAAAGCCACGGCUAACUACGUGCCAGCAGCCGCGGUAAUACGUAGGUGGCAAGCGUUAUCCGGAAUUAUUGGGCGUAAAGCGCGCGUAGGCGGUUUUUUAAGUCUGAUGUGAAAGCCCACGGCUCAACCGUGGAGGGUCAUUGGAAACUGAAAAACUUGAGUGCAGAAGAGGGAAGUGGAAUUCCAUGUUGUAGCGGUGAAAUGCGCAGAGAUAUGGAGGAACACCAGUGGCGAAGGCGACUUUCUGGUCUGUAACUGACGCUGAUGUGCGAAAGCGUGGGGAUCAAACAGGAUUCGAUA
rnacentral:rRNA from 1 species